AACGCAAGUGGCGCUCUGCGCAAGCGGAGCAUGCUUGGCUGAGGGUUGUUUUGGCUAGGGUGGCGGUAUUCAUGUUGGAUUCCGCCUAAGGUCAGGGACGAGCGGGCGGAGCGGAACAGGGCCUUUGUGGCCCUUGUUUGCGGUAUGGCUCCCUUGUGACAACCUCAGAUCAAGCAGGGUUACCCGCCGAACUUAA
rnacentral:misc_RNA from 1 species